CCUACGGGGUGCUGCAGUUUCGAAUCAUUCACAAUGGGCGAAAGCCUGAUGGUGCGACGCCGCGUGAGGGAUGAAGGUCUUCGGAUUGUAAACCUCUGUCACUGGGGAGAAAACGCUUUGAGUUAAUAGUUCAAAGCCUGAUUUAACCCGGAGAGGAAGCAGUGGCUAACUCUGUGCCAGCAGCCGCGGUAAUACAGAGACUGCAAGCGUUAAUCGGAUUCACUGGGCGCCAAGUGUGUAAGGUCGGCAAUCCCGGGGCUCAACCCCGGAACUGCGCCGUAAACUACAUGGCUAGAGUAUUGGAGAGGGUAGUGGAAUUCACGGUGUAGCAGUGAAAUGCGUAGAUAUCGUGAGGAACACCAGAGGCGAAGGCGACUACCUGGACAAUUACUGACGCUCAGGCACGAAAGCGUGGGGAGCAAAAGGGAUUAGAUACCCCUGUAGUC
rnacentral:rRNA from 1 species